AAUGAACGUUGGCGGCGUGGAUUAGGCAUGCAAGUCGAACGGGCCCGGUCCUCGGAUCGGGCCAGUGGCGCAAGGGUGAGUAAGGCGACGGUAACCAACCCCACGGUUGGGUAUAGCCGCGGGAAACCGCGGGUAAUCCCCAGCGAUGUACGACGCCGGCAUCGGCGUCCUAUCAAAGCUCAGGCGCCGUGGGACGGGCCGUCGUGGUAUUAGGUCGUUGGCGGGGUAACGGCCCACCAAGCCGAUGAUGCCUACCGGGCGUGCGAGCGUGGCCCGGCACACUGGGACUGAGACACUGCCCAGACUCCUACGGGAGGCUGCAGUCGAGAAUCGUCGGCAAUGGGCGCAAGCCUGACCGAGCGACGCCGCGUGGAGGACGAAGGCCUUCGGGUUGUAAACUCCUGUCGAGGGGGAGGAAGGCGCAAGCUUGACCGAUCCCUGGAGGAAGCACGGGCUAAGUUCGUGCCAGCAGCCGCAGUAAAAC
rnacentral:rRNA from 1 species